CGUAGGGUGCGAGCGUUGUCCGGAAUUAUUGGGCGUAAAGGGCUCGUAGGCGGUCUGUCACGUCGGGAGUGAAAACUCGGGGCUUAACCCCGAGCCUGCUUCCGAUACGGGCAGACUAGAGGUAUGCAGGGGAGAACGGAAUUCCUGGUGUAGCGGUGAAAUGCGCAGAUAUCAGGAGGAACACCGGUGGCGAAGGCGGUUCUCUGGGCAUUACCUGACGCUGAGGAGCGAAAGUGUGGGGAGCGAACAGGAUUAGAUACCCUGGUAGUCCACACCGUAAACGUUGGGCGCUAGGUGUGGGACUCAUUCCACGAGUUCCGUGCCGCAGCUAACGCAUUAAGCGCCCCGCCUGGGGAGUACGGCCGCAAGGCUA
rnacentral:rRNA from 1 species